UCUUGGUCAUUUAGAGGAAGUAAAAGUCAUAACAAGGUUUCUGUAGGUGAACCUGCAGAAGGAUCAUUAUUGAAUUGUUAACAAUGGGGAGUCUCGACUCCUCUACAUUCUUUAUUCCUACACACCUGUGAACCGUUGCUGAGUAUGCUCAGUGGCACAAUUUUCUUUACACACACAUACUAGUUUAGAACGUAACAUUUAUAAAAUAAAAUACAACUUUUGACAACGGAUCUCUUGGUUCUCCCAUCGAUGAAGAACGCAGCGAAAUGCGAUAAGUAAUGUGAAUUGCAGAAUUCAGUGAAUCAUCGAAUCUUUGAACGCACCUUGCGCUCCUUGGUAUUCCUUGGAGCAUGCCUGUUUGAGAGUCUUGAAUAUCUCUGCUUUUAUAAAAAAAAUUUUAUAACAAGUCAGGUCCUUGGGUCUGCUUGCGGUUUGUUACGAACACAAGCUUACCUUAAAUGAAUUAGCUGGAUUUCAGCAGAGUUGUUAAGUAACAUUUUGAACUCUGGUAAAAGAAAUCUGCUUCCAAUCUUUUUCACUUUUUAGAAGGAGAAAAUUAUUUCUAUUGGCCUCAAAUCAGGUAGGACUACCCGCUGAACUUAAGCAUAUCA
rnacentral:rRNA from 1 species